rnacentral:tRNA from 1 species
GUUAGAGCGCGCGCUUGAUAAGCGUGAGGUCGGAGGUUCAAGUCCUCCCAGGCCCACCAGUUACACUAUGCAGCAAAGCAGCAAAUUGCUCUGAUGACUGAAAGUUGCUCUGAGUGAGAAUGUUCAAAUCCAGAGAGAAUGUUACCCAUUCCUUAUUGAAUAAUCCCUUAAAGAAAAUUUAUGUUUAAAUAAAUUCUUCUAAGAGCAUUCAGAGCCUCAUAGAAACUCAAAGCCUUCCAUAGAAACGAAAACUUCGCGAGAAUUUUUUCUCUCCUCUUCAAUAAGAGAAAAAACAGGAAAAUAAGAAGGGAAAUAAAAGGCCAAUAUUGUAUUUCUCAAUCAAUAUUGUCUCUCUCUUUGUAAAAAGCUUAAUGUGAAAAGCUUAAAGAGCUUCUGUUUUAAGAAUAUAAAGUUUUUAUAAAAGCAAGACGUGAGGGCAUUUAAAACUGUUUUAGGGGCCGUAGCUCAGCUGGGAGAGCACCUGCUUUGCAAGCAGGGGGUCGUCGGUUCGAUCCCGUCCGGCUCCACCAUAUGGUUCAUCAUCAUUGUUAAAAGAAUAGUUAUUGCAAGAGAUUGAUAGAUCUCUUUGCCUGUUCUAUUGAAAUUGUGAAGAAGAAGGUAUAUUCAGACAUUUUUUGCUUCCUUUGAUCCUUAUGAAAGAAAUUUUAAAGGGAUGGAUGGCUUAAAAAAUGGCUUUUAAAAAUGAGACAUGGCUUUUAAAAAGCUGUGUUGGUGCUUGUUUACUCUUAUAAGCUUUUCCCCAUUUUAGAAGAGAGUUGAACUUUUAGGGUUGAACUUUUAUGGGCUAAAGUUAGAGCUUAU